GUGCUCACUUCAGCAGUACAUAUACUAAAAUUAAAGCAAUACGGAGAUUAGCAUGGCCCAAGUGCAAGGAUGACAUGCAAAUUCGUGAAGCGUUCCAUAUUUUU